rnacentral:lncRNA from 1 species
GAAUCAGUAAACAACAGGUCCCGAAGUGUCCUGAGCAACUCCCUCUCUCCAGCCCACAGGGUGCCUCCUGAGUGGCUUGCUAUAUCACCUUAAUACUUCUUGGCAUCGGACCAUAUAUAAGCAAGACUUUAUUCAUGGCUAACUAAUAAAUGGGCCAGCUUCAGAGAGGAAGCAAUCUUAGCUACCAUUUUUAGUGUCCGAUCCUUCCACUGGACCAAGUGACUGUAUUUUUUAUUUGGAGAACUACCCUGAACUAGAACCAUGCAUAAGCCUUUCAAAACUUUAAUAGUUUAUAUAGAUAGAUAGAUACUGAGAAAACAAAAGUCUAGUAUAUUUAUAGUCAUAUUACAAGGAAGAAGAAGGAGAAGGAAGAAAAAGAAGUCUCACAGAUGUUGUCUCCAACCCUGAAGACCCUGUCAAUGGACCAAGCAGCCACAUCAGAAGCAGCAUCCCACCCUUGAUCACCUCCAACAACAUGGUCCACCCCUUCUGCUGCCUCACAUCUUCCUAU